rnacentral:rRNA from 1 species
GACGUAGGAUGCAAGCGUUGUUCGGAUUUAUUGGGCGUAAAGCGAGCGUAGGUGGCUAGAUAAGUCUGGUGUUUAAUCCCCGGGGCUCAACCCCCGGAUCGCACUGGAAACUGGGUGACUUGAGUACAGAAGAGGAGAGUGGAAUUCCACGUGUAGCGGUGAAAUGCGUAGAUAUGUGGAGGAACACCAGUGGCGAAGGCGACUCUCUGGGCUGUAACUGACGCUGAGGCGCGAAAGCGUGGGGAGCAAACAGG